rnacentral:pre_miRNA from 1 species
UGCUGGUUGUGUAGCCAAGGAUGACUUGCCGGCCUGGUUGUGUUCAUCGAUCAGCAAUCCAGCAUGCGGUGUAUUGCCGUGUGUAAUGGCCGGCGCCGUGUGAUCGAUCGAUCGAUCGAUGCAUGGACCGGCAAGUUAUUUUCUUUGGCUACAUUACAACCUCG